CAGUGUUGCAGCUUCCGGUCACUAGCGAAGCAACUUUAAACCAGAUCAUGCUGUUUCCAGUCUCAUGAUUACUCCUGUUGUUCCAGGUCACAUGCGAACCAGUUAUUAGGCGAGAAGCAGGAUACACCCCGGACAAGUCAUUAGUCUAUCAUCACAGUCAAAGAGACUCACAGGACAAACCACCUCAUAGACUGAAUGAGCCCACUUUAGGAACACGAACAGGCUGAGGGAGACUUCUCUGUCUCUGAUGAUCUAUGGAGUCGGGCGUUUGGACGAGCCUCCUCUUCAUUGUGACCAGCGUGUUGUGCUAGUGAUGUCCGGGAUCACUUUCAGGGUGUGACAUCUUCCCUCUUCGGAUUGUUUGGCAACUCUGUGCAGAGCUGAAAAAGGAAACAAGUGCUACCCCCACCUUCAUAGCCUGUCUGCAAAUGUUUUAUGGCCUUCUGAGAGGUUGGCAGGAUGGUGGAAGCCCAUGGAAAGAUUACGGUUUAAUCCA